GACGAACGCUGGCGGCGUGCCUAAUACAUGCAAGUCGAGCGCAGGAAAUCGACGGAACCCUUCGGGGGGAAGUCGACGGAAUGAGCGGCGGACGGGUGAGUAACACGUAAAGAACCUGCCCUCAGGUCUGGGAUAACCACGAGAAAUCGGGGCUAAUACCGGAUGGGUCAUCGGAACGCAUGGUCCGAGGGUGAAAGGCGCUUCGGCGUCGGCUGGGGAUGGCUUUGUGGUUCAUUAGCUAGUUGGUGGGGUAAUGGCCCACCAAGGCGACGAUGCAUAGCCGACCUGAGAGGGUGAUCGGCCACACUGGGACUGAGACACGGCCCAGACUCCUACGGGAGGCAGCAGUAGGGAAUCUUCCACAAUGGACGAAAAUCUGAUGGAGCAACGCCGCGUGAACGAUGAAGGCCUUCGGGUCGUAAAGUUCUGUUGUAAGGGAAGAACAAGUGCCGCAGGCAAUGGCGGCACCUUGACGGUACCUUGCGAGAAAGCCACGGCUAACUACGUGCCGGCCGCCGCCGUAA
rnacentral:rRNA from 1 species